AAAUAAUCCGUCUGAGCGAAGGAAUUGUGUUUUAAUAUAUAAAUAUUCCCAAAUCCCAAUAGCAAGGCUCUUCUUUCUAAGGACCAUUCCAUUUAAUAUCCACACCCCCCCUACGGAUGAGGUCAGUAAAAUUUUAACCCCUAAGAAAAAAAUAUCAAAGUGCCGACACAAAACACCCCUCAGAAAUUUGUAAAUUUUCCCCUUACCCCUCAGAAAAAUCGCAGAGAUCAAAGGAUGCCGACAGGCUUAACCCCUCAGAAACGACUUUUUGAGUCACCCUUCAGAAAAGCUCAUCCGUAGGGGGGGUGUGGACAUUAAAUGGAAUGGCCCUAAGUUGGAUGGCGUUAUGAUAAAUCUCCGUGUAUCAUCAACGUGAAAACAAGCGCAGUAUUUAAGGUUGGUAUACUACAAUGCAUUACAGUUAUCUUGUUAUUUUAUAGUCAAAUUUCCGCUUUGUUGUUUUUAUUCCUGUACUGUACUGUAAUUUCAGAAAUACACUGCACAAAAUUAUAGCGUAAUAUUUGUGUUUAUUGCCUCUAGUUUGACCCUAUUGUGUGUGUCUAUGUACUUUGUCACUGUGAUAGUUAUGUACAUGUUUUGAGUUAAACAAAUUGUUUAAUAAAUUUUUGCUGAAGUAGUAUACAGUAGUUAUAUAUUUUUCAAUUUUCAUCUGUAAGUAAUAUUGCCAUAUUUGUGUGUUGUUCUAUAAAUAUUACUGUAAAUAGUGAUACACUUUUGCAUUAGAUUGCUAAUUUUAGAGAUUACAGUGUACGUAUAAAAUAAAAAUUUUCUUGUUAUGAUUUUGUAGAAAAAGAUCUACUUGAGUGGUUGGCUGGUCUUGAACCUGGUCAGGAUGGAUAUAUGGUAAUGAAGGUGAUACGGCAGAAAGUGGUGACCAUGCAGUUAAGUGAUGAGGAUGAAAGUGAUGAGGAUGAAAGUGACGAGAACGAAAUCAUCCAUGCUGUACCAUUCAAGUGCACCAGUGCUGCUCAUGAGAAAAACUACCAACAUCAUUUGGAACUGGCAAUAUACUUGCUCUUCAUGGACAAGAUAAACCAGUGAAUGUAAGAAUAUGGCCAGAGCAAUUGAAUCCAAUGGACCCAAGUGCAAUUGAUCUGGACUAUAUGGAACUGGAUGGACACAUGUUGGUUAUUUAAUAUUGCUUCUGAACUAUGCGAGUAUUUGCACCCACUAAUUGCCGCAGGAGAUAUCUUAGAGGUCUAUGUUCAGGAUAUCAAGUAUAGGGUUGAUUUAAAUUUUAAAAUAGGAUUUUGUCCAAAAAUUUCAUUAAAGUAAUGUGGUGAGUGGGAAACUCAAGUGGUAAAGAAGAGCAUGAGUGUAUGUUGACAGAUGUUUGUGAUAUAAUAGCAACUGACUAGGUUUAGCAAGUUAUAGAAAUGCUGUUAUUUCAAUUGGCUAACUUUUUAGAUUUUUUGUCAGCAUUUUUAAUAAACAAAAACUAGGUUAAUCACAAGUGAGUGCAAUUAAAACAAUGUCUGUCAUUAAAACAAUGUCUGUCAAUUAAGUACAUAAUUGUAACACGUGCUGUACACUAAAUUAAUAAAUAAAUAGUUUAUACAUUC
rnacentral:lncRNA from 1 species